GCAUUGCGCUAAAUAAACUUACCUCUGCUUUUCUCUGGCUCCAUCCUGAAUUCUCUCCUGCGAAGAAGCAAGGACCCUCACUUGGCGGUGGUCUGUUCUAAGGACUCCUGCGGGUCCCGGGACGUGACACUUUCCUCUCCUGCAACACCUCCCAGGAAGGGAUUCCACCCCACACCCCCCAUCUUGUGGGACACGAAGCAGAGACUUGCAGGAAGCUGAAGGCAGGCUCAGCACCCCGUGCUUGCUCCCCUUGACGAGACCAGCCCAAAGUCCACUCCUCCAGGCCUUGAUUUCCCCAGCUGUGAAGGGGCAAGACAGAAUUACAGGGGCCCUGCCAUGGCACAGAACGUGAACAGGAAAUGCCCAUUUCACCCCAUGCCCAACGAAGCCCAGCUCCUUGCCCCUGGAGGGCAUCAGGUUUUCCCAUGAGCUCCUUCCGCCAGCUCUGCCCUCUGGCUACUGCUUAUCUCCCUGAUAAAUGGCCCCACUGUCCUGCCAGAGGAAGAGCUGUCUGUGUCCUUCAGAGCCCUCCCGGCUCCGGCAGGGCCCCAUCGGUGAGGACCUGGGCCUCGGCACGUCGGCAUGGUGGCCAGAGAGAGAUCCCAGGCCACUGACCCAAGUCCUGCCAGUUGGGUUGGGGGCUCCGGCCCCAGGGAGGUGGCUGUCUCGCUGCCAGCUAUCUUUCUGGGGGGACUCUGGUUUGAAGCAUGAGAAAGGCCAGGUUUUGGUGAGUUUGAGUGGGCAAGGCCCUGAUCUCACAGGCACUCACCAUCCUCUCCCAGGGCCCCCAGCCCCUGCAUGCCCCCCACCUGACACGCACGUAGCAGCGGGACACCCCAGCCGUGACCUGGCAGCAGAGACGGGCAGCUUUGAUCUGCAUGUGACCCUAAUGUGACCGUUGGCAGAUGCUGGCUGGGGGCUGGAUCCCGCGUACAGGCCGUGAAGGGGGGCAGACAUGAGCAGGGACAUGUCUGCCGGGUCCUGUGGCACCUCCCAGCUAGAACAGCUGCCUGAACACUGGUCCUGGGGAGGGGCGGGGGUGACUGGCCCAGGCCCCCAGCAGAACGACCAGAGUCUCCAGGGCCCUGCAGGACAGGGUCAGGUUGCGCCCCUUUGCUGACAGAGAUGGGCUCAGACAGCACACAUGGAGGACAUGUCUUCCCUUCCCUUUGGUCCACGGCUGAACGUGGGUCCAUUGAUCCCGCGUUUCCUCUGGCUUCAGCCUGACGCCGAUACAAGCAAAGGCAGGCUGUCUGUCCACGGCCAGAUCCGCAGUGUUCAGCCAACCCUUGGCACGUAGCUGGCUCUGAAGAAAUGUCUGUUGAUGAAUGAAUCUUGGCUCCACACACAUCUUUGAUACUCUAGGUUCUGGCAUCCAAACAUAAUGUUUCAUUGAAAAAAUUUCUUCACUUAUUUGGUGCUGAGGUGGCUCCCAACACACAGCCAGGGUCACUGCUGUUGCUGUUCACGUCAGAGCCGCCCUGAACCGGCUGCUGCCAGUGACUUUGGGGACGAGGCGUGGGGGUGGUUACCUUUUAGGGUCCAGGGUAAUCUUUGCAACAUCCUCAGCUUGUGGGUAUGAGAAUGUAUUUCAAUCUUACUAGCUGACGUCUGUGC
ensembl:lncRNA